GAUGGACGAGGCCGAACUUCGAACGGUGCCGUUCCUCCGUGUGGCCAGAGCGAGGCCCUCGGCGUCCCUUUUUCCGAAUAAUUCGUGAGAGGCUUGCGACGAAUUUUCGCGCAAUUGCGCGCCGGAUAUCGAAAUUCGAAGAGCAGACUCUUACAGCGAGCUAUCGUCCCGAUAACGGUAUCGAGAAGCCGCAGUUGCCUCGGCUUGACUUUCGUGAGAUUAUGUAACUUGUAAAUGUUGAUUACUCGUAUCAUUCUCAGGGAGAUAAAACAAAUGGAGCACGUUGCACAACGUUGCACCGAGAGGCUGAUCUCCCUCGUGGAACAUUUUUAGGACACAUUCGAGAGCUUUUAGAGGCUUGGAUUUGCACGGGACAAAAGUUAAAGCAAUCAAGCAGACGGUACUGCAUAGUAGAAGGACACGCAUCGCGUUGUUAUCCAGCCAGCCCUGACACGCCAUCCGUUGCGAGCACCAAUGUUUGCGAACGUACAUAUGUACUCAGCUGUAUCUGCUUGGAAAAGCUUCGGCCGCUUACUUCGCCAGUGUUCCGUUUGAAACGACGUACUGCUGCAACGGGAACACUUUCUGCAUACAAGUACUCAUUGUUGAGGAAUUGAGUAAUGGUUCUAUUCAUCUGGUUUACAGUGCAAAAGUUGGAUCUACCUGGAGAAAAAAUGCAUCUUGCAUCUUCUGCGGACUCGAUUUCCCGUGACGGUGAUCGAUAACAAGAUUUUCAGACGUUCCCGUUGCAUCCAAUGGUCAUCACUCACGUGGCUAAUCUAUGCGUCGAGAACGUAUAUGCGGCCUAGAAAAUGCCAACACGUAAGCUCAGCCUGACGCCCAAGGUGCAUUGCCUUUUCUACAGGGUGUCCCACCUCGGCCUCCGAUAUAGUCACAUAGUUACGCGCUAUCUUUAGCGCAUUUGAAUCUUUUAGAACUUCAAUGACGAAACUUUUGUUCGAAGCACAUUUGAUUGAAAAAUUUUGAGUAAAAGGCAAUUGCAUAUUAUUUCCUCAUUAUCAAAUUUUGACAAAUAUUUUCAAAAAGAUGAGACAAAAGAAAAUUCAUUAGCUAAAUGUAUACAUUUCGAGAAGCAAUCUUCAUUGUUCAUUUAUUCCUGUAAUUGCCAUUACUGUAGUCCAUUGUCUUUUCAUUGUGUAGUUCAUUGUAUUCAUAGCACUAUCAUAGCACACAGAGUCGAUUGUCCGUGAGACGUGAAACUUGUGAUCCACCUGUAGAGUUGCAGAGAGACGCAGCGAGAAACGCUCAUAAAGAGGACGUAAACGUCUUGGGAAAUAUUUUGUUGUUACAUUCACCCAUCGGUACACAGAAACGCACCAAGUAUGAAUAUCGGCGCGCGGUGCUGCGAGGGGAAAGCCGAUAUCUGCUAAGCUCGUUUCUACGUCGUAGAAAUUACGCCGAGCAAAAUUAUCGAAGCGUAAAAGACGUGUCUCACCAUCGAUGAAAUUUCUAGAUCAAACGAUCUUCGAUCGCGUGAUCGAUCGAUCAUUACGAUGAGUUUUUCGUUCGACAUGUAAAGUUUUAUUUAACGAGUCUGUAAAGUUUCGUCCCGCGGCGAUAACGAGGUAAUAAUAACACUCGAAUCAUAAGAUAACGACGGAGACGGAGACGGAAAAUUUAAUAAACAUAUAAGAGAGCGUAAAAUUGCAAUAUCGACCUACGUCAAUACUCGAGUCGAUAAUCGUAUUUUUUAAUAUGUAUUGCCGUUUGUGGAGAAAUAUAAAGCGCCAAUAACACACUCGUGUUUACUGUUGUCGGCGUAUAAACAUCUCGAAGCCGAGAGCGAUAAUGAACGCAACACUUUAUUGUUAUUUUGCCAAAACCGAGAUCGAAUAUUUACUUGGCAUUUUAUUCGAUAUAGGUAUUAUAUAAUGAUUCAUCUCGGGAUCGUCGUUAUCCUCAGGUGUUUAUUAAGCUUUUUAUUAAGCGCCUGAAUCUCGCAUUAGUGUUUGUAUUCAAAACGAUGGGCCUCUCUCUUUCGGUCAUGACGUGGCUCAGCCUUCAAGGUUCUCGGCUAUUGAUACGUACGAUGAACAUUAUCUAAACUGGACGCGAAAUACGUGCUCGUCGCCACGAGAGGCAAUGUUUAAUUAUAGCUCGAGGAACACGCUAUCUCCGCAAAGUCAACGAGAGACAAAGUCCGUCCGCGAGGUCUCGUCGACGUGUAGGAAGGCGUCGUGUCGUGCGAAGGAACUUGUCGAUCAAAUUCGAAGGACGACAAAGACGACAACGAAGAUGAUGAAGACGCGAAAGGAUAUCGGGUACGGAUGCAAAGUACCGUUAACCGAUCUGAUCCUGAUAGGGCACUCGCAGGUUGGCUUUGGUCCGCUCUCGAACUGGCGACUAGUCGAGAAUCUUCCCUGAACUGCUUCAAGAACAGGUUUCGCCGAGCAGUAGUAGGGGAAUCGCUAAUUCAGUGCUUCAUAUUUGCACGAUGUUGCAAAGCGCCGCCUUGAUCGCGUAGAAGCUUCGCUCGCCACGAGCCGAGAAAAGUAGGAGAUAAAAAAUUAGGCUGUGAUAUAAUAAGGAUACGAGAUACAGUUUCCUCGCAUAAAAUGCGAGAAUAGAUUAAUUAUUUAUGUAUAUACACACACGCGCGCACAUACACGCACCUUAUCUCUCGUGCAUUAUUAAAACUUACUUUUAUUAAAUAAUAAAAUUAUAGAAAAUUUUAUUUUUGUGGAUUUUUGUCUCGUGGGACAAAAAUCUAGUUCAGAAUGUACAGCCGUAGAAGUCAAAGUAAAACACCUGAUGCGAUUAACUUAAUGAGCAAUUUACAAUCGGAAGUAAAUCACAGUGUCGACUCAAGGCUUUACACUUAUAAAAAAACGUUCUCAGCGAGGCGAGACGCUAAUAAAUACGUCCGCGUAGCGUCAUGCGACAUUUUAAGAAUAAUUACGAAUCAAAUCGGAAAAAUAGGAAUAAUAGUGUAUGGUGUCCUUGAAAGAGUAAAAUUCUCUUGUAGGAAUAUCGAGAUAUCACAGUAUCAACGUAUUAGACACAAAUUCAGAAAAAUUACAAGAUACAGAGUUGCAGAAGAAAAUACAAUCGACACAAAGAUAACGUAUCAUGAUCAGUGAGUAACAUUAAUUAGAGAUUAAUUUAUAGACAUUACAUGUAAAAAAUGCA